ACUAUCAGUAUUUUUUUAAAAAAGACAUUGACAAUGUCCUGCUAAAACUGCUAAAAUCCAUCUAGGACACUGAAAGGUCAACAAGCUUUUUUUCUUUUAAGAUUUUAUUUAUUUAUUUGAGAGGUAGAGUUACAGACAGAGAGAGAGGUCUUCCGCCCACUGGCUCACUCCCCAAAGGGCCUCAACAACCAGAGCUGGGCAGAUCAGAAGCCAGGAGCUUCUUCCGGGUCUUCCCACUUGGAUGUAGGGGCCCAAAGACUUGAGCCAUCUUCUACUGCUUUCCCAGGUCAUAAGCAGAGAGCUGGAUUGGAAGAGUAGCAACCAGGACAUGAAUAGGUGCCCAAAUGGGAGGCCGGCACUGCAGGUGGAGGCUUAGCCUGCUAUGCCACAGUGCUGGCCCUGCCAUUAGUGUUUUGAAAUAGCUUAAUAAACAAAGGGAAUACUCAAAAUAGUAGUAAAGAAUAGACCAUAAAGUUCUUACACUUAUGAGAGGAGAGCUGACCAACCAGUAAAUCUAUGGAAACCGAUAAGGAGAUUGCACUGCCAAUACUCAAGGAAGGAGCUGACAAGUUCAAGUGUGCUCUGUGAGGGUGGGGCAUUCUGACUGAGAUGGAAGUGGCCACCCUCUGGAGGCCACUGCAGCACUCAGAAGGUGAAGAAGCUCCUACCGAUUACUUCCUCUUCUCAGUGUCUCCCUGGAGACAAAUGUAGAAUGUGGUUGCAGAAUCGUUUGUAUUAUCUAGAAGAUGGAAUUGUGAGGACCCCCAAAUUCAACUGCUCUGUACACCCAACAGGAUGCUCACAGCAAGACGGGCACAGAAAUCUGAGUUCCAUGAAUCCUUUUGGGGUGAGGAUCUGGAGCAUGCGUGGCAAGUGAAGCUAUCAACAGUCCCUGGGUGGUAGACACCGGAUGUGUGUGACAUCACCUUGGUACUUUCCUGUAAGUUCCCUGUAUGAACUUUAUGUCUGUAUGUUCAGGUGUACUCUGGUACUUUUCAGUACUUUUGUGCAGUUCAUAAUUUAAAGUCCUUACUGUUGUGAGACUACAUUUCCUUGUCUUCUUUUACUUCUUGCAUUGUUUUGGUUGGUUUGUCCUGGCUGCUUGCUGUGACUUGUCACUUUUCCAUGGUGAGCUGGGAGCCAAUCCUUGUUUGCUUACCUAUGCAGAUGAACCUAUUUAUCACUGAACACUUUAGCACACAAGUAUCUUUGCCUCUCAAGUCUCCCACUUAAAGCCAUCAGAACGAAUCCUCUGCAUUUCCUUUGUGCAAUACAAAGAAUUCUCGUGCUAGCAGCUUUAUAAUUUCUUUCUUCCCUGC
rnacentral:lncRNA from 1 species